rnacentral:rRNA from 1 species
UACGUAGGGUGCAAGCGUUGUCCGGAAUUAUUGGGCGUAAAGAGCUCGUAGGCGGUUUGUCGCGUCUGCUGUGAAAACGCGAGGCUCAACCUCGCGCCUGCAGUGGGUACGGGCAGACUAGAGUGUGGUGGGGGAGAUUGGAAUUCCUGGUGUAGCGGUGGAAUGCGCAGAUAUCAGGAGGAACACCGAUGGCGAAGGCAGAUCUCUGGGCCAUUACUGACGCUGAGGAGCGAAAGCGUGGGGAGCGAACAGG